AAACACCUAAUAAGAGUAAAGGCAAAGAGUUCCUGAAUAUAUCACAUGUGGUGAUAAACAUGAAGAUGUAUGAAAAAUUGUGUUCGUUGAGAGAAAAUGGAAGGCUUUUCAUUCUACUUCCACAUUUUCAUUCCAGCAGCUUUUCUGUUUUGGAAGAUGAGUACUGAAUCUUGCAAUGAAAUUUUUUUAACUUAAACAAGACAAGGAAAAUGAAGCGCAGAGACGUUAAAUAACUCUCUCAAGGUCAUGCAGCUGAGAAGAGAUGAGACUUGAACUCCAGUGCCAGCCCUGUUAAUCACUAUUCUGUACUGUCUUUCAGAUGGAAUGAUAGGGUAUGCAUAAAUGUUCAUGUGGGCUCUGGAGUAUACCAGGAACUGAAGUAAGGUACAUGGACGUCUUGAAUAUUGUAACUGAGAUGGGCAAGCCUACACCUUUGCAAAUAAAGGAGGAUUGGGAAAGAUUAAGAUCCUGUUAAACGUCAGUGUUACUAUUUAGCCUUUGAUAUCUCCAGUAAAGGCAACUUCUUUCUGGACCCAGAAAUAAAGCUUUACAUUAGCAGCUUCCAUAACACCAAUAACAUGAAUGACCAUCUACUGAGCAAUUGCAGUGCACCAGGAUUAUGGCUUAUGAGCACUUUAUGUUUAUUAUCUCACAACUCACUGAGUUAGAUACUCUCCACAACCCAGUGAGCCUCUCAAGCACUGUGAAAAAUC
rnacentral:lncRNA from 1 species